ACCUAGGGUGGCGAGCGGCGGACUGGUGAGUAAUGCAUAAGAAUCUACCUAAUAGACUGGGAUAGCCCUUGGAAACAAGGAUUAAUACCGGAUAUGUCCAUGGAUGAAAGCGGCGUUUGCCGCACUAUUAGAUGAGCUUGUGUCCUAUUAGCUUGUUGGCGGGGUAAAUGCCCACCAAGGCAAUGAUAGGUAUCCGACCUGAGAGGGUGAUCGGACACAUCGGGACUGAGAUACGGCCCGGACUUCUACGGAAGGCAGCAGUUAAGAAUAUUCCGCAACGGGCGAAAGCCUGACGGAGCAAUCUCGCGUGGAGGAUGAAGGCCCUUGGGUUGCAAACUCCUUUUGGCAGGGAAGAAUAAGGCAAUAGGAAAUGAUUGUUGAUGACGGUACCUGCAGAAAAAGCACCGACUAACUACGUGCCAGCAGUCGCGGUAAUACGUAGGGUGCAAACGUUGCUCGGAAUCACUGGGCGUAAAGGGUACGUAGGCGGCUUUGCAAGUCGGCGGUUAAAAAUUGGAGCUUAACUCCAAAGGUGCCGUCGAAACUGCUUAGCUAGAGUUGCAUAUAUGGGUGACAGGAAUUCCUAGUGUAGGAGUGAUAUCUGUAGAUAUUAGGAGGAACACCAAUGGCGAAGGCAAGUCACUGAGUAGCAACUGACGCUGAGGUACGAAAGCUAGGGGAGCGAAUGGGAUUAGAGACCCCGGUAGUCCUAGCCGUAAACGAUGCAGACUAGCUUUAUGGAUUUUUUCAUGAAGCGUAGCU
rnacentral:rRNA from 1 species